rnacentral:tRNA from 1 species
AAGGCUUUAAGUUAUUUAAACUUGUAGCCUUCAAAGCUACCCAAAGGAGUAAAACCCUCCUAAGCCUUA